UACAGAGGUGGCAAGCGUUGUUCGGAAUUACUGGGCGUAAAGGGCGCGUAGGCGGCCAUCUAAGUCAGACGUGAAAUCCCCCGGCUUAACCUGGGAACUGCGUCUGAUACUGGAAGGCUUGAGUAUGGGAGAGGGAUGUAGAAUUCCAGGUGUAGCGGUGAAAUGCGUAGAUAUUUGGAGGAAUACCGGUGGCGAAGGCGGCAUCCUGGACCAUUACUGACGCUGAGGCGCGAAAGCUAGGGGAGCAAACGGG
rnacentral:rRNA from 1 species